CCACAUCACCAUAUUACCCUGCGGCCAAGACCGGUUAUUCACUGAAGCUAAGCAGGACUGAAAUUGGUUAGUACCUGAAUGGGUGACCACAUGGGAAAACUAGGUUGCUGUUGG
rnacentral:rRNA from 1 species